AACUAGUGACAGUGGCGAGGAAGUGGGGGCGCUGAGCAAGCGAGAGGAAGGCUGAAGGGAGCUAGGAAAAGGGCGCUGAUCUCUGCAGCCUGGGAGGGCUUUUGUCUCCCGGAGGAAGGCCAGAAGAGAUGGGGUCCCGAGGGCAGGGCUCACACAGCAAGAAAACGAGGAGCAUGCCUGUCAUUUUGAGCCCACAGAGAACGGGGAGCGGAGCCACUGGAGGACCGGCUGCUCGGGCUUAUUCGGUAGCCGAGGCGGUUAAACAGUUCAGGGCUGGACCAGCCGGGACUGGAGCAGGGUGCAGUCUCCAGGGUUGCUGGGCAGCACCGAGACCCUUUGAGCACCGAACGAAUAAACUACGGGAGCUUUCCACACUUGCACAUUGUUCCCGCGAGUUGCAGACGCAGGUUCCUGAUGCUAGCGCUCAUUCCUUGGCAGUCACCCUCAGUGAACUACACAGUUGCCGUGACCUUCAGGAUGAAUGCUUGGAUUCCAGGUGCAAGUUUGCUGAGGGCCCCAGAAGGCUCCUUCCACCGUAUCAUAGUCUAAUAAAUAAUUUU
rnacentral:lncRNA from 1 species